rnacentral:rRNA from 1 species
UACGUAGGGGCGAGCGUUGUCCGGAGUUACUGGGCGUAAAGGGCAUGCAGGCGGUCGGACGCGUUUCGGGUGACAGCGGGUGGCUUAACUACCCGAGUGGUCGAAAGACGGUUUGACUUGAGGACGCGAGAGGGACACGGAAUUCCGGGUGGAGUGGUGAAAUGCGUAGAGAUCCGGAGGAACACCGAAGGCGAAGGCAGUGUCCUGGCGCGUAACUGACGCUGAGGUGCGAAAGCCAGGGGAGCGAACGGGG